rnacentral:misc_RNA from 1 species
AAGUCGUAAUCAAAAUGCCACCUUAAAAUCAACAAGUUCAACAACAAAAGUAAAACUCCAAAACCUAAAACAUGACAUAACUAGAUAAUUACUGCAGUAGUAACUACCAGUUUGGUCGAAUGACCUACAGACAACAUCUUAUAGAGACACUGAAAUGACAUAUAACGAGUAGUGCUACCAUGGCGAGAGUAGAGAGUAGGGAGAACAACCGCUCAACAAUCUUCUUCCAACAGCUCCAACUAAAAGCGCUUAUCAGUAGCUAGUGAUCACCAAUCUCCUUAGGCAAGAUGAUUUUCUUUUUGGUGAAGGAAUAAACCUCUUAACUAGCAUAAUUGGACUGGCAAAAGGAAAGCUAAAAGGGAAGAUACGAAUACCAGGAACAGAAAAGGAUACAACUGACUAAUAAUUUCCCUACCCAAUUUUCAUUCCCAAAAAACAGAAAAUUGGUCAAGGGGAAACAACUUCAAGAGGAAGAAGUAGGACAUAUAUCCUAUUCAGAGUUGAGAAGAGAAUACAUACAAAGUUAUGAUGAUGACCAGCCCAUUCAGGCAUUCAAGGAAUAGCAAGGACUUAGAUAUACCAAAUGUCCUAUUUCCUAGUCAAGAAUUUGAAUCUACUAAGAAAUAGAGAUGGUUAGGAUGCAGAAUUGGAUGAAAAGGCUAAGAUCUAGUAACUGAAUAAACCAGAAGUCUAAAGGGAUGCUAAUCUGGUAGGGUCUAAGAUAUAUACAAUAUCUCCGAUUUACAGAACAUCAAAAGAACAUGAAGAGGCAAUAAACAAUCCCACGACACUGGAAUCAAGAAUGACAAUUGAUGGUUAUAACAAAUUCAUCUCCAGGGCAGCAAAGAUAGUUGAGCAACAAGUUACGCAACCUCUACAAAGAACUACAAGCUAUCUAUUACUGUAAUGUAAUAGGAGCAUCUCACUCAUCACUCAGAUUCUUCUUCCACUGUUCGAUGCACAAACAUACUCCAUUUGUUGAACCCCUCAUAGUCUAACCAUGACUGCACGAACUUUGAAUAUACCAGGAGAGUAUCGAUCAACUAGCCAUUGUUCAUAUUGAAUUCCCCUUAAAAUAACCAAUCUUGACAGAUGUUGCAACUUCACUACUGAUCUACCAUGACAAACACUAAGCGAAACAGUAACUUACUAACUAAAAACUGAAUUAUUCACCAUACGAACUAUCUACUAUUACCCAAUACGAAAACUAAAUAAUACCCUAGUUAACUGCUAUUCAGAACUCCCACCACACAUUCAUCCAUCAUUAGUUUCAAGGAGAAUUUGGGCAUUAGUUUCAAGGUUGAGCAUGCGACGAAGAGUCUGUGUCACUGAGUCAGUAUUGUCAAACACAAUUCCCGGAGAAAGACUGCUCUCCCUGGUUGGAGAUGCUGGUGCAGACUUGGCAAUGGGACGUAAAUGAAUAUCACAUGCUGAAGUAGGAAACUCAAGAGAGGCAUUCCUUUUAGGCCUGAGAAAAAAUUUGGGCAUGGGCAAAGAACUAGGAGGAGGAGAAUUUGAAUACGCUGGCCCAGCCCAUAGUUCAGAAAACGGUAACUCAUCAUUCAAGGAACCCUCAUUCCUAGAACCUACAUCCACUUUGAGGUUAAAUGGUAUCGAAACCAUGAAAUUUUGGGCUGUUUUUCCUGAUUUCUUUUGAUCUUCAGAAUGAGACUUGACAGUAUUAACAGGCAGUGAUGUUAAAGGUGGUCGCGUUUUGGGAGAUAAGGAACCCGUGAGGGCCCGUUUGAUGACAGGUUUCUUGCAAGACUUCGAUUUGGUAUGAUAUAAACCUGCCCUGGACUCAAAAGCCCGACAAUUUACCUCCAUGAACCCACCAGAGGGAGGUGAACCAAAUGACCCAAAUCGAGUAGGGCCAUGUGCCCUACUUUCCAAAUAGUUUUGAUCCCGAUGCUGAGGAACAACAAUCAUUUUCAACAGAGCCAAUAACCGAUUCGAUCAAAUUCCACUAUAACUCACUAUCUGAUCGACAAGCCUGAAAAUCUAAGCAGAAACAACAGUGUUCAAAGAUCCAUACUGCUGAAUGACUGUAGAUCCUAAAAAUUUUCUCAAACAAUAGGUUACCAGGAAAUCAAAAUAACUAUCACUGAAUCCAAACUAUUCUUCAACACGCACGUCUAUGAAAAAUAUAUCCACAAUCACCACUCCACCCUUCAGUUUCUUCAACAAAAAACAAGCAAAAAGAAAAAGACAUCAGUCAAGUUACAUGAGAUCAAACAAAUCAAUAACUCAAAAUGGAAACACCCAGAACAAAAAGUGCAAAAAAAGUCUAGCAUCAUAUAAUACAAUUUCAGGGUUAAAU